rnacentral:rRNA from 1 species
GACGAGCCUCACAAACGUUUAUUCGGAAUUACUGGGCUUAAAGGGUGCGUAGGCGGCGCGGAAAGUUGGGUGUGAAAUCCCUCGGCCUAACCGAGGAAUUGCGCUCAAAACUACCGUGCUCGAGGGAGAUAGAGGAAUGCGGAACUUACGGUGGAGCGGUGAAAUGCGUUGAUAUCGUAGGGAACACCGGUGGCGAAAGCGGCAUUCUGGAUCUCUUCUGACGCUGAUGCACGAAAGCUAGGGUAGCAAACGGG